rnacentral:rRNA from 1 species
CCUACGGGAGACAGCAGUGAGGAAUAUUGGUCAAUGGGCGGGAGCCUGAACCAGCCAAGUCGCGUGAAGGAAGAAGGUACUUAGUAUUGUAAACUUCUUUUGUCGGGGAACAAAGGCGGAGACGCGUCUCCGGAUGAGUGUACCCGAAGAAAAAGCAUCGGCUAACUCCGUGCCAGCAGCCGCGGUAAUACGGAGGAUGCGAGCGUUAUCCGGAUUUAUUGGGUUUAAAGGGUGCGCAGGCGGGAGAUCAAGUCAGCGGUAAAAUGUCGGGGCUCAACCCCGGCCGGCCGUUGAAACUGGUUGUCUAGAGUUGGAGAGAAGUAGGCGGAAUUCGUGGUGUAGCGGUGAAAUGCAUAGAUAUCACGAAGAACUCCGAUUGCGAAGGCAGCAUACCGGCUCCAUACUGACGCUGAGGCACGAAAGCGUGGGGAUCGAACAGGAUUAGAUACCCUAGUAGUC